GUUGUCCCCCACUCCAUCUCUCCUUCAGGAGAAAGAUGUGUUCAUGUUCCUGUCUCCUUGCUCCUGCUACUUGGCCCUCCAUCAGGAAGGUUCAUGGUACUCAAUACAGUUUUUUCAUGGGCCAGUUUCAAGGGAAAGUUUCAGUGUUUCAUACCAAUGGCCUGUGCCACACCCCGAUGCAGAAUUCCAGGUCAAUAAGACAGUACAGGAGUUGAGGUAUCUCCUGUCAAUCUGAGUAGGAAGGUUCAUCCAGAAGACUCCAGUUUCCAGUGAUUUACUGGACCCAUGCCAGAGUGAGCAGAGAAUGCUUCCACCAGUGACCAAAAAUAUGACUGCACGUGCUUAAAUUUAGAUAUUUGUUUGCAGAGUACAUAAGAGAUAAAGUAUUGUCCCAGUGUCUGAGUACCUCAUCACAGGAGGGUUUGGUCUGGUCAGUCAGCUGAAGCACAAGUCACCAAAGAGACCAAAGGUGAAGCUGAUCUUUUGAUCUGUGCAUUAUCUUGUCUGAGUCUGUGUGUAUAGAGACAAUAGACCCAGUGAAAGCAGGGACCAAUCUCUCCUCUUGUGCUGAGGCGUGUUAAUAUCCCAGGAAGCAGUAGAAGAAAGAGAACCUGCUUUGCUGAUUGGAGUUCUCUGUCCUACUGUGCUAAGCUGAGAUUUCAGAUGAGAAAGAAAGAUAAAAGCAGAUGGUGAUCCAAUCCAGACAAGGAUUUUGGAGAGGUCAUAUCUCCUUAGAGUUGCCAUGACACCUA